GGGAGACAUCCUGUUGCCCUCAGUCCCACCUGUCAAAUGUCCCAGUCAUGGGAGCCAGAGCCUCCCCGUUUUGACCCUUCCUUUUCAGGCAGUGUUUUGAUUCUUGUUCCCAGGAACUGGGCUAAGCACAACCUACGUGCCAUGAUUUCUGAUUUGCAUAACAGCCGUGUGGGGGAGGUAUUCUCAUUAUUCCUGCUUUCAGAUGAGAAGACCAGGGAUGGGAGGGUACAGAGUCUGCUCAGGGUGAUUCCCAUGUCUGGGAAGGCUCAGAGCCUGGAGGUGGCCCCAGCAUUCCCCUUCAGAGCCCGCAGCUGCGAACACCACGGAACCCUGCUCACCAGGCUCAGCCAGCCGCUGGCCACGUGGCCCAGGUAUUCGGAGUGGCACAGACGGAAUCCACGUGGCCGACGUGAGCCUUUAUUUAGAAUAAUUCCAGAUAAACAGCUCUGUGACCUGGUUCAUUUUUAUUUAUCUGGCUUUCACCUUGAUGGAUAACAAGUUUAUACAAAGCCCUGGUGCAUCUGAAAUCUGCCAGAGGAGAGGAACAGGAGAUGGGAGACAGCCACCACCGGGGCAUCACAUCACGAGGGCACCCCACCCCCUGCCCCCAGGAUGUCUUCCAACGCCAGGAGCAAGAGUGAGUGUCUGGCUACAGCAGAGCCACCGGAGACUGAAGUGUGUCUGCGAGGUCUUCUGUUCAUCCAUCCAGCCUUCUGCCCAUCACAUGCCUCUUCUCAGGGAUCAGGGUCCUCCGCGGUUGCCGGAGCUGCGGUGGG
rnacentral:lncRNA from 13 species